GAUCUACUUCCUCGGUUCCAAAAUUCUUGUUUUAAAUUUGUCUAGAUGCAGAUGUACCUAAUACUAAAACGUGACUUAUUACAUCCAUAUUUAGACAAAUCUAAGACAAGAAUUUUGGGACAGAGGGAGUAUUUA
rfam:Triticum aestivum genome assembly, contig: Triticum_aestivum_CS42_TGACv1_scaffold_556325_7AL